rnacentral:lncRNA from 1 species
UGAUGAUAAUAAUAAUACACUAGGAUGCUAUCACAUGCAUAUUGUAUUCGCAAAUAGAUAAGUAUUUGAAGUAAGACAAAGCCUCAGGCUCUGCUGGUGAGAUGGAGUUUGAUUAUGACCACUUUUUAAAACAAUGCAGUAAUAUCUAAAAACUUUUGCAUAUGUAGCAAAAGGGUAUUUACAAGAAUGUAUUUUGAAGCACUCUUAAAUAUCAAAAGCAAAUGUACAAGAUAGUGUCUAACUGCAAGAGAAUGAUCAAAAACUAUAGUAGUUUCAUAUACUAGAAUAUUAUACAGCAGAGGAAAUCAGUGAGAGAGAACUACAGAUAGCACAAAGAUAAAUAUCCAAGAUAUAUUCUAAGUAAAGAAAAAAGUGCAAGUUACCAAAGCAUAUGUAGAAUAUAAUCAGUUUAUAUAAAACUUAAAAACAUGUAAAAUACUAUCAUAUGUUAUGGAUGCCUUAAUAAAUUCUAAUAAUUUAAAAGAAUGUAUUAAAGUAGUUUUUAUUUAGUUGAGAAUGGAGGAAAAUAAGACAAGGAAAGAAUGUAUUGUUAGAUGUUCAUAAUUAUGUUCUACUUGCUUAACAUAAAGAAUCUGGUGAAAUAUAUAUUUUCCUUUUAAUUAAGAUGAGUGAAUGCAUACACAAGGCUUCCUUCCAUCAUUCCUUGUUUUUGUUUUUCACAUUUUUUAUGAUACUAUAUUAUGAAAAACAUGUAUGUUGGAUUGAGGAUAGAUUGUAAAGCAGGAAAGCAGAGGCUAACAUAGUCAGUGGUCCAGAUUUGAGAUGAUCAUGACUUGGUCUCUGGUAAUAGUCACCAAGUGACAGAUGGUUCGAUUGAGAAUAUUCCUUAACAUUAUGGUUAACAGAAUUUUCUGAAAGGAAGAGUUGAGGAAUAAAAAACAUUACCUAUGUUUUUGGCUUGAGCAACACAAUUGAUGGGGAAAUGUGUGUGGAAGUUAAAUUAAGAGUUAACAUUUUGGAUGUUUAACUUAAAGUAUCUAUUAGGUCUCCAAGAAAAUAUUUCCUGUAGACAAUUGGUUAUACAUGUUAGAGUUUAAGAGAAUGGUCAGGUCUGGAAAUACAGAUUGGGAAAUUAACAUAAAAUGAUAUAUAAAAUUAUGAGACUCAAAUAUAUUACUUAAGGAGAAAAAUGAAGAUGGAGAAAAGAGGAGAAUUAAGAAAUGUUCCCUAGGGAUCCUGUUAAUUAUAAUGCCUGAGAGAGAUGUGAAGAGAAGAGGAGGCAGCUGAGUGUAUAUGAAAGCAUGACUACUUCACCAAGAAAAAUGCUAGAGGAGUGUGAAGUCAAAAAUUAAAUUGAGAGAAGCUUUCAUGAAGUUGAUUAAUAUGAGAACUGUGGAUUAAAUUAAAGUGAUAAAAAAAUUGGGCAAAACAAAUUGCUCCUAUCCCAGAUCAUCCUUCCCCACUGAUUUUUAAGGGCUCCUCUCCUGUGUCAUCAACCAAACUCCUAUGAAAGCUUCAGUCUGUUUCUGGACUCUCCAUUCUGUUCCAGUCAUGAUUUUGCUUUUCCAGUGCUACAUUGUUUUUGUUAGAGCGGAACAUCAAAGAAGAGCAGAAGACCAGAGUGCUGAGACCUCAAGUGAGUUUUAUUGAUUGACCAAUAGAUUGGCCAGGAGCACUGAGAGAGAACUCCAGCUCCCUGCCACUUGGAUAAAAGUUAGUUAUAUAGGAAAAGGGGUAGUUUCAGUUUUUAGCACAGGUUUCUUGGCUAAGUCAGUAUUCAAGGCUUAGGAGGAAGCAAUCUCCUUAGGAAUGUGGGUAAUGGUUUUGGGUAGGGGGUAGAUUGAAGUUGUAAUGGAACAUCCCAGAUGAAUGACUGUUUAACUGGUCUCCAAGGCAGCUCAUUGUUCAGGGGGACCAGCCUUCUAGAUUAGAGUUUUGAUGGCAUCUAGCAAGUCAUGUCCAAUUCCCCACCUAAGAGUUUAAAUAACUACAGCUUUGCAAAAUAAUUAACAUUUGGUAGUACAAGUCCCAUCAGUAAGUUCUUCUUUUAUCAGUCUGUUUGCAAAUGAUGUUUGGAUUUUUUUUUUAACUUUCUUUGUUACUUAAUGUAUGGUUAAUUUUAAUAAAUGUCCUGUAUGUCUGGAAAAAAAUUAGGCCAAACAGAUGAGAUUUGAAAAAAAAUUAGGCCAAACAGAUGAGAUUUUAAGUUGGGAGUUCUUGUAGCAUAUUUAUAUCAUAGAUGGAGUUAGUUGAGAUUAUAGUGAUGAUGGAGAUAAAGAAUAGCAUAUACAUCAGAACAAAAGUCUUGUAUAAAGGAGUCAUUAAUGGAUCAAGAUCACAGUGAAGGGGCUGACUGUCACAGUCUCAUCCGUUGUAAGGGAAGGAAGGAAGAACAUGUAGGUGUAUAUGCAGAUAGCAGUUAGAUUUGCACAUGGAAAGAUGGUUCUGUUCUCUUAUUUUCUUGAUGAAAUAGGAAGCAAGAUUAUUAACUGAGAGUGAGAAAGGAGAAGGGAGUAGAGAAGAGAAGGACUUGACAUUGAUCUCAGAGAGAGAAUGAAUUCAAGAGGGAAAUUUACCUUUAGGCCAUACUAAGUAGGCAAUGAUGGGAUAAAGCAUUGAGGAAAGUGACUGAAAGCACUCAGAAAAUAGUUUGAGAGUAGAGGAGAGUGGAGGGUAGGAUGAAUAGAGGUGGUAGAGUGAUAGUGUAGGCAUAUAUGGGAUUAAAUGUCUAAGAGGGAUGGAUGACUUGAAAAGCUUGGAAUUCUGCUCAACACUGGGAAAAUGAGCAUAUGAGUCAUGAACAUGUAAAUAGUGAGUAUGUAAAUAAGUACUCAUGGCCAUGUAGUGGAAGCAGUUUGAAUUAAGAACAGCUUAUUGUGAGUGGGCUCUUUGUGAGAAGUUCCAUACAGCAAUGGGCAUGUGGGAGAGGAAUAGCAGCUUUACCUGGCAGACAUGGAAUUUCAGUGCCUCUCUUAAAUCCUGUUGUGGAUUACGGUUCUAUAUUCAAAGAGAUAUCAAUAUACUUCUUGAUCUUUCAGUGCGUAUAGUCUAAAUCAUAAUUCAGAACACAAUGUUUAUUUAACUUAGGAAUAAACAUUUAAAAAACUAGUAACUCUGACAAACACAAUUUAGUAUUUGCACCAGGAUAGAGGAAGGUGAUUUUUACAUCUGGUGGGCUGCUUCAUCCUUAGCCUUCUUUUUUUUUUUUUUUUUUUUUCCUUAAUGGUCCAUAACAAAGAGGCAUUUUCUGUUGGAUACUCAUCAUCCCUUAAGGCAAUUCAGUUGUGUAUGAUUUAAAAUGGAAAUUAAUAUAGAAAAAAACGCAAGUACUUUUCUACCACCUAACACUAACCCUGUAUCAAAUUUCUCCAACUAGAAAUUUAUGCAAGUGGAUUAUUCUAGCUCUCAGGAGAGAUGUUUCCAGAAAUAUAAUCACAUACUUUGCACUUUACUGUAAUCAAAUAUCACUAUAAGAAGUGAACGGCAAAAUAACGUCUGCUUGUUUGUCACAGAUUCAGUCCAAAAAAAGACCACUCCACUUUUCAAUGCCUCUUUAUAUUUCUACAAGAUACAGAAAUACAGUAUUUCAAUUCUAUUUUGUAUUUCUAGAUGCACCUUGGCAUCCAAUGUUCAGGGGCAUCUCUGUACUCUACUGAAUAUGAAGUCAUAUUUCUGUGUUUACCUUGGGUACUAGGAAACUCAGGCUAAUUUGAAUGUCCCAGUACAACUGUCUCUCAUAAGCUACCCCUUAGUUUUGGGUUUUCAGUGCAACUGUGGCUUACCCAGCUUUGGUCCUUACUCUUAUUCUUUUGGCCUUUUUUCAGUGGGUUGCUUAUAUUAAUACCAUUUAUUAUAAGCUUCUUCUGGUCAUUUUGGAUUCAGUCAGGGAAAAAUACUACAUAUUUAUUUCUAUGUUCACACUGUUUAGAACUCACCUUUCCUACUAUAAUGUCCCUACUUCAUCUUCUGCUUUGUCUAGAAAACGCCAACCUUAGAAAUAUCUACUUCCAUAAGUGGCUUAGGCUCAUUUCCCUAGGCUCAACUCUCCCAACUUGAGCUCUUACCCAUUAAAAUCUAAAUUCACUUCCCUUCUGUGAGGACUUGAAUUCAACAAGCUUUCCUUGGGUUGUUACACAAUUUCUUUCUUUUGCUUUCAACAUUAUAGCCACUUCCUCUUCCUCUACUAUUUAAUUACCACUCCUCCUUCAGGUGUCCCUUUAGAGAUCAAUUCCUUCUUGACUUAUUGACCAGUAGAUCCUCUGUACUCUUAUUCUCCGCAUAAGCCUGAUUAAGUGCUCCUUUCUAUGCUCCCAAAGUCCUUUCCCAUCACAGUCUUUGUAAAGCUGUAUUUAAAUUUUUUAUCUAACUGUACUCCUAAUUAUGCCAUCAUUACCAUGAGAAUAAGGACUUUAUACAUUUUGCUUAUUGCCACAUCCUUCUGAACUAUAUAUGAUCAAUUAUUAUUUCUUAAGUAAUAUACAGGUACUUCUUCUGAGCCAGAAUAUUAGAAACGUUUUAAUUCAGAAUCUUAAAACAUAUACUUCUGUAUUUUUAUUUGAUUCCGAAACUCAGAUAAUCACAUAUGCCUUUCAAAAUAGCAUGGAUAUUAAUGAAAUUAUUCAUUGAACAUUUUCCUUUCUCUAUAUUAUAUGGAAAAAUUUCUAACUUUAUGCUGUGUUUUAAUUGCAUGAAUUCGAAGGCCAGCAAUAUAUGGGAAGUGUUACUGGUCAAAUUGCUAUGCUGGAAUUAUUCAAUUUUGUUUUAUUUAACUGUAGUAUAAAGAGUUUCAAUUAGCACACUGGCAGCAAUAAAGUCCUUUGUCAAUACAUUAUAGCAAUAUUCUAAGCAUGAAUGCUCUUUAGUAGGGAUACAAAUCAUUAGUAAUGAAGUGGUCCUCUGACAGAUUAAAAGAAAAAAAAAACUAAGCAGAAUGAGCUAAUAUGUAUUUUGCUUAUCAAGUGGAGACUGAAGACCACUUGCACCAUCAAGCAAGCUACAGAUUACAAAAGUUGCUCCAAACUUUUCUGCAUAUCAAAUUUGAAACUAUGUGAUGAAAUUAUUCUUCUUUCCUAGUUGAUAAAUUAAAACAUCAACACUUUCACUUUUCAGAAGUGACAAAUUAACACUAUUAUAGAAAUUUAAAAUGUAUUGUUUUAGUUUGAUGAUCUUGGUUAUUAGAUGAGAUGAAAAAACUGAAAAUUAAAUUGAUAAAGCCAUUUACCUAAGAUGCCAUAGCUUGCAAAUGACACAAAUGCACCCACUAUGUAAAUGUUCUGAUUUACAGUGAUUUAUAUCUAAAUAAAAUUCCUGUCUGGAUUAUUGGUUCUAGGAAUGUAUGUUUCAGAUAACCAAGUGGAAGUUUACAAAAUUAUUCUCCUCCCUUUUGCCUGCUUCAUCCCCUGUAGAAACACCUGUACCCCAGAGUUCCCUUUGUGGCUCAGUAGUAACAAACUAGUAUCCAUGAGAAUGUGGGUUAGAUCCCUGGCCCUGUUUAGUGGGUUAAGGAUCCCGUGUUGCUAUGAGCUGUGGUGUAAGUCACAGAUGUAGUUCAGAUCUGGCAUUGCCGUGGCUGUGGCGUAGACCAGCACCUACAGCUCUGAUUCAACUGCGCAUUUCCAUAUGCUGCGGGUCU